rnacentral:rRNA from 1 species
CCUACGGGCGGCAGCAGUGAGGAAUAUUGGUCAAUGGACGAGAGUCUGAACCAGCCAAGUAGCGUGAAGGAUGACUGCCCUAUGGGUUGUAAACCUCUUUUAUAUGGGAAUAAAAUGUUCCACGUGUGGGAUUUUGUAUGUACCAUAUGAAUACGGAUCGGCUAACUCCGUGCCAGCAGCCGCGGUAAUACGGAGGAUCCGAGCGUUAUCCGGCUUUAUUGGGUUUAAAGGGAGCGUAGGGGGAUUGGUAAGUCAGUUGUGAACGUUUGCGGCUCAACCGUAACAUUGCAGUUGAAACUGGCAGUGUUGAGUACAGGAGAGGUGGGCGGAAUGCGUGGUGUAGCGGUGAAAUGCUUAGAUAUCACGAAGAACUCCGAUCGCGAAGGCAGCUCACUGGACUGCAACUGACACUGAGGCACGAAAGUGUGGGUAUCAAACAGGAUUAGAUACCCCUGUAGUC